CGCGUAGGUGGCCAAUUAAGUCAAAUGUGAAAUCCCCGAGCUUAACUUGGGAAUUGCAUUCGAUACUGGUUGGCUAGAGUAUGGGAGAGGAUGGUAGAAUUCCAGGUGUAGCGGUGAAAUGCGUAGAGAUCUGGAGGAAUACCGAUGGCGAAGGCAGCCAUCUGGCCUAAUACUGACACUGAGGGACGAAAGCUAGGGGAGCGAAAGGGAUUAGAUACCCCAGUA
rnacentral:rRNA from 1 species